GUACGCUGGCGGCACGCCUAAUACAUGCAAGUCGAACGAAGUAGCAAUACUUAGUGGCAGACGGGUGAGUAACAUGUAGGUAUCUUCCCAUUGGUGAGGAAUAACACGAGGAAACUUGUGCUAAUACCUCAUAAGUCUUUACGGAGAAAGCUUUAUGCGCCGAUGGAUGAGCCUGCACUUGAUUAGUUUGUUGGUAGGGUAAUGGCCUACCAAGACAAUGAUCAAUAGCUGAUUUGAGAGGAUGAUCAGCCACAUUGGGACUGAGACACGGCCCAAACUCCUACGGGAGGCAGCAGUAGGGAAUCUUGCACAAUGGGGGGAACCCUGAUGCAGCGAUGCCGCGUGAGUGAAGAAGGCCUUUGGGUUGUAAAGCUCUUUCGUCGGGGAAGAAAAUGACUGUACCCGAAUAAGAAGGUCCGG
rnacentral:rRNA from 1 species